GGUAGUGGACGCGGGAGGAGGCGAGGAGGAGCGGGUGGCCGGGGCGGAGCAGGUGCGGCCAGCCCGCAGGAGGGAGGCGAUGGAGGGCGACCGGCGGCGACGACGGCGGCCUCCUCACUGCUCGUGUUUCAUCUGCUCGUCCAAGGGACUUCUCCCUGCCCUGCCCCGCGCCAUCCCACUCUCCUCCAUCUCGGCCGGCCGGACCGCAUCGUCGGCGGCGGCGGCGACCAGCGUAGCCCCCGUGGAGCGUCCAGGAGGGCGAGGAGGUGAGCACCAGCGCAGAUUCGUCGGAAGGGAGAUGAAGAGGGGUGAAGAGAUGUGAGGGAGGAGAUCUGUGGUGCUACUGUGCAUCUGUGAGAACCAUACCCGCAAGCUCCUCCUAGGUUGCAGCUACUACCACUCCAAGAACUCCAACCUAGACGGAGGAGGGUAGUAAUUCGGGUUUGCUUAUUCUUUAUCUUUCAGCUUUUAGAGAAAAUUUACCAUUACUAUCUUAAAUCUUUCUGGGUUAGAGUUUCUGAUGAUCCAACAUCCCAUGAUUAUGCUAUUAGUCAAAUACUGAAUUUUUUGCUGGUUUCCCAAUAUAAAUUUUGCUUAGGAAGGAACAUCAUGGAGGCCGCUUGCCGCAUAAGAGGCUGGAGCGGCAAGUUUGGUGUGGCUGCUCCUCCACGCAAAGGUCUUCAGUUCAUAAAUUAUUGCUCCUUACUUUUGUCCCUUAAGGAGCAGCCACAUGCUUUGUUUUGUUUGUCCUAUAAUGUGUAUUUAGGCUUUCGCCACAUCACCGAUUCUUCAUUUUUCUGUCUUCCAUGUUUUAGCAAAAGAAAGUAGAGAAUAAAUCAAUGAAUGUUUUCUUUUAAAAAUGAUUAUACCAUUUCAUCGGAUGUAAUAACUUAAAAUAGUUAUUUGUGGCUGUAGUUUGCUGCUAGGUUUAGGUUCAGAUUUAGGAGGAGGUGGCCGGCCGUUCGGAAUAUUGUGCGAGCCAGCAGCGGUGACACGGUCCUUCUCCUCCCUCCUUACUUGUGGUGGGCUAGGGCCGGAGCUUGAUGGUUGUCGGAGCCGCUCGUCCACCCUGUACCUGAUUUGCUUUGAGCAGAGAAAAGUAGAGAGGGGUGGUGGAUUCGCAUGCUCGACAGCCCGCCAGCUAGGAUUUGAUGGCGGAGAGAUGCGAAGUCUAGCUUGAUUGUUGGCUUCUUUAUUAUAUGGACGUGAUGCAAGCUAGGGUUUCAGUUUAUAGAAUAUUCUUGCUGAUGGCGAUCACAGGGAGCAUCAUGGUGAGUUCGCAUUGGCGUGACGGUGCUGCACCCAUUUUAUUACCAACAAUGACUGCAUCUUCUGUGAGAAUGAUCUGGUUACUGACAAGAAUGCGGAGCUCAUCGGGAUGCAAGAUGCCGAGGUGGCCGGCAUCCAACACCGUGGGCUGUUGGUGCUCCACCCAGCGCCCCACUUCUUGCUUGCAUGCAUGCCACCGGUCAGUUGUAAGAUGCCAACGCCCAGGUACUGUAGGUACCAAUGGGGAAACAACAGAAGAACGAUGAGGGCAUUGUCUCUAGGUUCAUUCUUAUUUCGAAGAAUAAGUAGUCAAAUCAAGGAUUGAUCGGCGAGUGAUCAAGCAAAGCGAUCUCGGGUUGUACGUGUUCGCGUUGAAUCUGUUGAGUGGCGAUCCCUUCAUGAAUUAAAAAUUGUUGCCAUACUUUGACACCUGCCAGUUUACUGGUUGCUAUAAAUUGUGAAGGAAUCAAGUUGUGGGCAAAUAUUGAAAGGUAAUGAAUGAUCCAAUACUUGCCUUGUUAGUCCUUUCUUGGUUCUUAUGCAUUUUAUAUUAUUAUUUUGGUCCCAGCUUGUUGCGUUGAUUGGUCUAUAUGGCCUGUAAUAAUUCAGUUGGCAUGGACAUGGGGAUCUUGAGCCUACUUUCACUCCCACAAAUGGUUGCUUUGGAUAUUAAGAUGCCACUUUUAUUUCGUCACCCAUGCAUUGUUUUGCAUUCAGAAUUACCUGCUAGAUAAUAUUACCAUGCCUAUUAUUAAUGUGUCAUAAAGACAAGCACUUCACCAGCUAAACCACUUGCCAUGUGGUUAAUAUUUACGGUUUGGCCUUCAGAAAUUUCAGAUGGGAAUGGUCUCCAAAUUUUAAGAAAAGUUUGUUUGGGAGCAGUCAUUUAUUUAUUUGUUAUUAUCACUACAUAUCAAGUAAGCUGGUUGUGAAAUUUACAUUGACUUCUUGUGAUAUGAUGUAGGUAUUAUUAGCCAUUGACUCUAUUUAUGUUGCCUUUCGGCUCCACAAUUGACCUGAUUUAGAGUUGAUCCAGAAUUUCAUUAUAUUACCGCAAAAUGUGCCUCUGAACAUAGUUUCAGUAGUAGUGCCACUUGGAGAGAUCAACAUUAUUUGUUUACUCAUCCAAUGAAGGUCUUGCAGCAUGACCAGUAUUAUGGUCAGUUGUCGAGUGCAACAUCCUCCAGUUUUUAUUUAGUUUCACAUCAGAAAGUCAGUUUUCUCCGUGCAUUGAUGCAUAUGCACACAAAGAUAUGACAGGUUUUCGUGUCUCCAUUUGAUUCUGGUUCCACCUCUGCCAGUAUCAUUUGUUGUGACAGCAGCCUGCAGCGUGUGCCUUUUACCUACAUAUCUCUACAUAUUUAUGAUGGGUAAAGGGACGUCUUCUCAAGCCCACUCCCGUCUGUUUGGUUGCUAGAAGAUUUAGGUUCACUCGUGGCAUCCUCCUGCAACGAGUCUCCAACCUAUCCCGUUCUUAAUGACUUCUACUCUAGAGUACUAAGAAGUUGUGAUAAAUAUAGAGAUGAUUCCUAAGGAGAUCUGGCAUAUAUAUUUCUCAGUGCAGUUGAAGGAUUGGUGCUGGUUGGAGGGGGCUCCGGUUCCUGCAUGGUGAAUUCCCUCCCAGGCAUCAAAAGAUUAUGUCAAUGCAGCCAUUGGCAAUAUGAAAGCGGCUUCACAAGUUCGGUGGAGGGAGCUGUUAUAACCCUAAAUUCCAUCAACACAAAACUAAUCUACUUAUACCGCCAUCACUAAACUACUGCUAAACUACGAUAUAUGAUAAAUGUUGCACUUUUGUUUCCCUUCUACCUUUAGGGCGAGGCACAACGUUGGCGCAAUGAGUAAACAUUUGUAAUAGUUUCGCUACACUGCGAUAUAUGAUAAAUGUUGCACUUUUGUUUUGCUUCUACCUUUAGGGCACGUUGGUACGACUGGUAAACAUUUGUAAUAGUUUCUGGUUCUUGUGGUAUCGGUGAAGCGGCUUAGAAUCUCGAACCAAACUUUUUAUCUUUCUGCUUACAAUAAGUAGAAGCAUUCCUUUUGGAAUUACUAAUUA